GAUGAACGCUGGCGGCGUGCCUAAUACAUGCAAGUCGAGCGAAGCGGGGACGGUGGAGUAACACGUGGAUAACCUCCGUUAAGACUGCGAUAACUUCGGGAAACCGUAGCAAAACCUGAUACUUGUGUAUCGAUCCUCGCUGCAUUAGCGAGUUGGUAAGGUAACGGCUUACCAAGGCAACGAUGCAUAGCCGACCUGAGAGGGUGAUCGGCCACACUGGAACUGAGACACGGUCCAGACUCCUACGGGAGGCAGCAGUAGGGAAUCUUCCGCAAUGGGCGAAAGCCUGACGGAGCAACGCCGCGUGAGUGAUGAAGGUCUUCGGAUCGUAAAACUCUGUUGUUAGGGAAGCGGUAUCUAAUCAGAAAGCCACGGCUAACUACGUGCCAGCAGCCGCGGUAAUUC
rnacentral:rRNA from 1 species